rnacentral:rRNA from 1 species
GUGACUGCGUACCUUUUGUAUAAUGGGUCAGCGACUUAUAUUCUGUAGCAAGGUUAACCGUAUAGGGGAGCCGGAGGGAAACCGAGUCUUAACCGGGCGUUAAGUUGCAGGGUAUAGACCCGAAACCCGGUGAUCUAGCCAUGGGCAGGUUGAAGGUUGGGUAACACUAACUGGAGGACCGAACCGACUAAUGUUGAAAAA